GGAAAAAACUCGGCAGAGCUGCCGUGGCCAAAACCUUAAACCCUUUCCGAUGAGCCCCUUCUCGUUUAUCAUUUCACGCGAUUUUUCGACCACUGUGUUCAUUGUUCUUUUCUGUGUUGGUUAGCUGAAGAAGAAACCCCAGCCGCGAAUGAGAACCGGUGAAGCCGCCGCGCUUAGAGACCCUCAUGCUGAUAGGUUCGAUUUUUUGUGUUUUUUAGCCAACCAAGGCCCCAUAGCAUGUUUUUCCACAGGAGUCCAUGUAAAAUCGACCAAAACUGGCCAAAAUUGGCUUAACCAAGGUGAAUCACCAUCGUGAGCGGCGGAGCCGGCACUGGAGCACGGUGGUGCCACUGUGCCGGAACCCUAAAAUUAGCCAGAAAGGUUUUCGCACCAAUUUAGGGUUUUUUAGGAUAUUUUAGUCGUAUGAUGAGUAUUUUAGAUUUUCGCAAAAAAAUUCAGAAAACCCGAGACCCGUUAUGAGGCAUAGUAGGUAGCGCGACAUCUCAAAACACCAAUCAGGAUAAGGAUCCCUCACCCUAUAUCUUGUUAUCAUAAAUGGAGGCUUAAUAAUUGAUAAUUGUGUAUUUUGUAAAAAUUAGAAAAACUCUAACAAUAAUUACAGAUCACUCGUGGAGGCAGAAAAUUGGUUAGCGUACAUUUACCCUAAGCUUGCUUGUGUUGCCUAUUUAUUUUUCUAUACUACUUAAAUUGUUUGUUAUUCCAAAAUAUGAUUUAAAUUAUCACAUUUAAUCGCUUUCUCAUUAUAAAUUGCCUGAUUGUAAUUCUUAUCUGAUUGACUAAGUUAAAAAUAAAGGCACUAAGUACAUUUCUUGAUUAUUAAAGUAUGAAGUUGUAUUAUUUGCAUAAAUGUCGUUUAAUUAAUCUGUGAAUAUGAUAUGAGAGGUUGAUAUGCGCUUGGUGUUUAUUUUAUUGAUGGAGAGCUUCAUGUGAAAGGCUUACUGGUUAUCCUGGGAAAGGGCGGACGGGUCUGGUACAUAGGAAACCUUACCAUAAAUGUUACCUCAGUUGGACGGGGUUGGGAAGUUCUGUACCAAAAGGGUUUGGGAGAUAUGGUUCACCCUCAUACCGAAUGGGGUAUCGAGAUGAUAGAAUGUUUGGUACCCAUUAUCAGAUGGGAUAUAGAGACAACCGAUUAAUUGAUAAAUUUAGAUAUUUGGUUCAUGCAUAGGGGCACAUCCUUAUGAACCCCUAGGUGUACCAGUAAGCAGGUAAAAAAGGAAAAUUGUCAUUUUUUGUUCACUUGUAGGUAAAAUUAAAAAGUUGUAUCGAUAUUGGUCUUUAUAUGUUGAUUUUUGGAAAACUCGUAAGGGUUUCAUUAAUUGUUUUGUGAUUUUUACCAACCUUUAUUUUUUGUAUUAGUGAUUAGUGUGAUAUUCUUACUGGGCUAGUGUAGCUCACCAUUCUAUUAACCAUUUCAAAUUAAGAGGACCAGGAUCCAGAUCACGAUCAGCAAAAAGGUUGUGAGUAGUUUACCUCCUAGAU
rnacentral:lncRNA from 1 species